rnacentral:snRNA from 1 species
AAAUUUGGAUGUCAAGCUUUAGAGUAUCCCCAGGCCAUCUCACCUGCCCAUCUUUUGUAUUUCUUUUUUCAGUGUUUAAAAAUGUAAAAAAAAAAAAAAAAUCCCCAAAUGUGGGAAACUCGACUGCGUAAUUUGUGGUAGUGGGGGACUGCGUUCACGCUGUCCCCUG